rnacentral:tRNA from 1 species
GCAUGGGUGGUUUAGUGGAAUUCUCGCAUGCCGUGUGGGAGGCCUGGGUUCGAUUCCUGGCUCAUGCA